rnacentral:rRNA from 1 species
ACGCUUAGGCGUGUGACUGCGUACCUUUUGUAUAAUGGGUCAGCGACUUAUAUUCUGUAGCAAGGUUAACCGAAUAGGGGAGCCGAAGGGAAACCGAGUCUUAACUGGGCGUUAAGUUGCAGGGUAUAGACCCGAAACCCGGUGAUCUAGCCAUGGGCAGGUUGAAGGUUGGGUAACACUAACUGGAGGACCGAACCGACUAAUGUUGAAAAAUUAGCGGAUGACUUGUGGCUGGGGGUGAAAGGCCAAUCAAACCGGGAGAUAGCUGGUUCUCCCCGAAAGCUAUUUAGGUAGCGCCUCGUGAAUUCAUCUCCGGGGGUAGAGCACUGUUUCGGCAAGGGGGUCAUCCCGACUUACCAACCCGAUGCAAACUGCGAAUACCGGAGAAUGUUAUCACGGGAGACACACGGCGGGUGCUAACGUCCGUCGUGAAGAGGGAAACAACCCAGACCGCCAGCUAAGGUCCCAAAGUCAUGGUUAAGUGGGAAACGAUGUGGGAAGGCCCAGACAGCCAGGAUGUUGGCUUAGAAGCAGCCAUCAUUUAAAGAAAGCGUAAUAGCUCACUGGUCGAGUCGGCCUGCGCGGAAGAUGUAACGGGGCUAAACCAUGCACCGAAGCUGCGGCAGCGACGCUGAUGCGUUGUUGGGUAGGGGAGCGUUCUGUAAGCCUGCGAAGGUGUGCUGUGAGGCAUGCUGGAGGUAUCAGAAGUGCGAAUGCUGACAUAAGUAACGAUAAAGCGGGUGAAAAGCCCGCUCGCCGGAAGACCAAGGGUUCCUGUCCAACGUUAAUCGGGGCAGGGUGAGUCGACCCCUAAGGCGAGGCCGAAAGGCGUAGUCGAUGGGAAACAGGUUAAUAUUCCUGUACUUGGUGUUACUGCGAAGGGGGGACGGAGAAGGCUAUGUUGGCCGGGCGACGGUUGUCCCGGUUUAAGCGUGUAGGCUGGUUUUCCAGGCAAAUCCGGAAAAUCAAGGCUGAGGCGUGAUGACGAGGCACUGCGGUGCUGAAGCAACAAAUGCCCUGCUUCCAGGAAAAGCCUCUAAGCAUCAGGUAACAUCAAAUCGUACCCCAAACCGACACAGGUGGUCAGGUAGAGAAUACCAAGGCGCUUGAGAGAACUCGGGUGAAGGAACUAGGCAAAAUGGUGCCGUAACUUCGGGAGAAGGCACGCUGAUAUGUAGGUGAAGUCCCUCGCGGAUGGAGCUGAAAUCAGUCGAAGAUACCAGCUGGCUGCAACUGUUUAUUAAAAACACAGCACUGUGCAAACACGAAAGUGGACGUAUACGGUGUGACGCCUGCCCGGUGCCGGAAGGUUAAUUGAUGGGGUUAGCGCAAGCGAAGCUCUUGAUCGAAGCCCCGGUAAACGGCGGCCGUAACUAUAACGGUCCUAAGGUAGCGAAAUUCCUUGUCGGGUAAGUUCCGACCUGCACGAAUGGCGUAAUGAUGGCCAGGCUGUCUCCACCCGAGACUCAGUGAAAUUGAACUCGCUGUGAAGAUGCAGUGUACCCGCGGCAAGACGGAAAGACCCCGUGAACCUUUACUAUAGCUUGACACUGAACAUUGAGCCUUGAUGUGUAGGAUAGGUGGGAGGCUUUGAAGUGUGGACGCCAGUCUGCAUGGAGCCGACCUUGAAAUACCACCCUUUAAUGUUUGAUGUUCUAACGUUGACCCGUAAUCCGGGUUGCGGACAGUGUCUGGUGGGUAGUUUGACUGGGGCGGUCUCCUCCUAAAGAGUAACGGAGGAGCACGAAGGUUGGCUAAUCCUGGUCGGACAUCAGGAGGUUAGUGCAAUGGCAUAAGCCAGCUUGACUGCGAGCGUGACGGCGCGAGCAGGUGCGAAAGCAGGUCAUAGUGAUCCGGUGGUUCUGAAUGGAAGGGCCAUCGCUCAACGGAUAAAAGGUACUCCGGGGAUAACAGGCUGAUACCGCCCAAGAGUUCAUAUCGACGGCGGUGUUUGGCACCUCGAUGUCGGCUCAUCACAUCCUGGGGCUGAAGUAGGUCCCAAGGGUAUGGCUGUUCGCCAUUUAAAGUGGUACGCGAGCUGGGUUUAGAACGUCGUGAGACAGUUCGGUCCCUAUCUGCCGUGGGCGCUGGAGAACUGAGGGGGGCUGCUCCUAGUACGAGAGGACCGGAGUGGACGCAUCACUGGUGUUCGGGUUGUCAUGCCAAUGGCACUGCCCGGUAGCUAAAUGCGGAAGAGAUAAGUGCUGAAAGCAUCUAAGCACGAAACUUGCC